GUCUACAGCCAUGCCACCCUGAACAAGCCUAAUCCCAUCUGAUCUCGGAAGCUUAACCAAGCUUAGGGUCAGGCUUGGUUAGUACUUGGAUAAGAGACCACUUAGGAAGACCAGGUGCUGUAGGCA
rnacentral:rRNA from 1 species